AUCCCACUGAGCUGGCCCUGGCACAUCUGGUUCGUUACCAAAGUGAAGCAAGGGCCGGUCCUGUAAUCUGUCUCACACUGGGCUCCA